UACGUAGGGUGCAAGCGUUGUCCGGAAUUAUUGGGCGUAAAGAGCUCGUAGGCGGUUUGCCGCGUCGGCUGUGAAAACUCGGGGCUCAACCCCGAGCCUGCAGUCGAUACGGGCAGACUAGAGUGCUGUAGGGGAGACUGGAAUUCCUGGUGUAGCGGUGAAAUGCGCAGAUAUCAGGAGGAACACCGGUGGCGAAGGCGGGUCUCUGGGCAGUAACUGACGCUGAGGAGCGAAAGCGUGGGGAGCGAACAGG
rnacentral:rRNA from 1 species